UACGUAGGCAGCAAGCGUUGUUCGGAAUUACUGGGCGUAAAGAGUGUGUAGGCGGUGCUCUAAGUUCGGUGUGAAAUCUCCCGGCUCAACUGGGAGGGUGCGCCGAAAACUGGAGUGCUGGAGCGCGGGAGAGGAAAGCGGAAUUCCUGGUGUAGCGGUGAAAUGCGUAGAUAUCAGGAGGAGCACCGGCGGUGUAGACGGCUUUCUGGACCGUAGCUGACGCUGAGACACGAAAGCGUGGGUAGCAAACAGG
rnacentral:rRNA from 1 species